GAUGAAGAACGUAGCGAAAUGCGAUAAGUAAUGUGAAUUGCAGAAUUCAGUGAAUCAUCGAGUCUUUGUACGCACAUUGCGCCCCCUGGUAUUCCGGGGGGCAUGCCUGUCCGAGCGUCAUUGCUGCCCUCAAGCACGGCUUGUGUGUUGGGCCGUCGUCCCCCUCCUAGGGGACGGGCCCGAAAGGCAGCGGCGGCACCGCGUCCGGUCCUCGAGCGUAUGGGGCUUCGUCACCCGCUCCGUAGGCCCGGCCGGCGCUUGCCGACGACCAUCAAUCUCUUUCUCCAGGUUGACCUCGGAUCAGGUAGGGAUACCCGCUGAACUUAAGCAUAUCAAUAAGCGGAGGA
rnacentral:misc_RNA from 1 species